rnacentral:rRNA from 1 species
UGAGUACGAGACGCUAAGGCGUCGAAGUAGUGUAUGUCAUACUUCCAAGAAAAGCUUGCACUGUCAUUCAUAAAAAAUGCCUGUACCAUAACCGACACAGGUGGGUAGGUAGAGUAUACUAAGGGGCGCGAGAUAACUCUCUCUAAGGAACUCGGCAAAAUAACUCCGUAACUUCGGGAGAAGGAGUGCCUUAUUUAUAUAAGGUUGCAAUAACAAGAUCCAAGCAACUGUUUACCAAAAACACAGGUCUCCGCUAAGUCGCAAGACGAUGUAUGGGGGCUGACGCCUGCCCAGUGCCAGAAGGUUAAAGAAGUUGGUUAGCAAUAGCGAAGCUAGUAACUGAAGCCCUGGUGAACGGCGGCCGUAACGAUAACGGUCCUAAGGUAGCGAAAUUCCUUGUCGGGUAAGUUCCGACCCGCACGAAAGGCGUAAUGAUUUGGAUACUGUCUCGGAGAGGGACUCGGUGAAAUAGACUUGUCUGUGAAGAUGCGGACUACCUGCACCCGGACAGAAAGACCCUAUGAAGCUUUACUGUAACUUGAAAUUGAAAUUGGACUUUAUUCGCGCAGUAUAGGUGGGAGGCAUUGAAAAUAAUCUUGCGGGAAUAUUGGAGCCAUCAGUGAGAUGCCACUCUUGUAAUGUUAGAUUUCUAACUUUGAAUCAUUAUCUGGUCAAAGAACAGUUUCAGGCGGGCAGUUUGACUGGGGCGGUCGCCUCCCAAAUGGUAACGGAGGCGUACAAAGGUUUCCUCUGAACGGGUAGAGAUCGUAUCUAGAGUGUAAAGGCAAAAGGAAGCUUGACUGUGAGACCUACAAGUCGAGCAGGGACGAAAGUCGGUCUUAGUGAUCUGACGGUACUGAGUGGAAAGGCCGUCACUCAACGGAUAAAAGUUACUCUAGGAUAACAGGCUGAUCUCCCCCAAGAGUUCACAUCGACGGGGAGGUUUGGCACCUCGGUGUCGGCUCAUCGCACCCUGGGGCGGUAGUACGUCCCAAGGGUUGGGCUGUUCGCCCAUGAAAGCGGUACGCGAGCUGGGUUCAGAACGUCGUGAGACAGUUCGGUCCAUAUCCGGUGUAGGCGUUAGAAUAUUGAGAGGAGCCUUCUUUAGUACGAGAGGACCGGGAAGGACAUACCUCUGGUGUACCAGUUAUCGUGCCAACGGUAAACGCUGGGUAGCUAUGUAUGGAGUGGAUAACCGCUGAAAGCAUCUAAGUGGGAAGCCCACCUCAAGAUGAGUAUUCC